GCAGAACAGACAGGACGUUUCACAGAGCAGGCUGCCAUGUCCCUCGGGGCCUUGGGGGCUGCUGAGGCCCUGAGAAAGAACAGAAAUGGGUGCCCAGCUGGUCAACAUACAUUUGUUACCUUGCUUUAAAAUGCCUUGAGAGUGGAACCACCGGUGCAGGCUUGGCUGGUCAAGAAUCAUGUUCUAGAAAUUAUUUCCAGUGCUGAGCACAGUCCCUGAGAUUUAAAAACGCUUAUGGGAUGAAUGGAAAAUAGCAGGGCCUCUUACCGGCCUGCAACGCCUUUAGAGGCACGGAUGCCACGUGCACAGACCCAGCUCCGGGAAGCACAAGCCUGGUGGUGUGCGGGAAGCGGCGAGGUGCGCGGGAAGCGGCGAGGUGUGCGGGAAGCGGCGAGGACCGGCUUUAAAGUCACAGCAGUUUCCUGAAAGAUGAGGGGGAGGAGGACAGUGACGCUCACAGCACAGCCACUUGUCAACUUGGACAUGACACACACAAAGCCCAGAGCUCGGACGGCACCGCGAGGAGGCUGGGAUUCACGUCAGGC
rnacentral:lncRNA from 1 species